rnacentral:misc_RNA from 1 species
AUAUAUAUGUGGAUAAAAAUAGCGCUGGAUGUGUGUAUCUGCAAUAUGAUACUGUGGAAGCAGCUAUAAAUGCUCAACGUGCAAUGCACUUGAGAUGGUUUGCAGGCAGACAGAUAUCAGUCUUGUUCAUGCAACCGCAGGUGUACGAAGCCAAGUUUAUAGGAGCUUGAAUCCUGUUCGUGGUUCUCAUCACUUGGGAGUAAUCAGAAGAUUCCUCUAGCCAAUCCCUGCUCUAUAUUUUCUCGGGUGGCGUCCAGUCCCGUCAAUGUCUAAUGUCUCUCCUUUCUGUAAUAGGUGCUUAUAGACGUACUGGUUUAAAUUGAGUCAAUUGUCGUAAUAG